UACGUAGGGGGGCAAGCGUUGUCCGGAAUCAUUGGGCGUAAAGAGCGUGUAGGCGGCCAGAUAAGUCCGCUGUGAAAUCUCGAAGGCUCAACUUCGAGCUGUCGGUGGAAACUGUCUGGCUAGAGUCCGGAAGAGGAGAAUGGAAUUCCUGGUGUAGCGGUGAAAUGCGCAGAUAUCAGGAAGAACACCCGUGGCGAAGGCGGUUCUCUGGGACGGUACUGACGCUGAGACGCGAAAGCGUGGGGAGCGAACAGG
rnacentral:rRNA from 1 species